rnacentral:antisense_RNA from 1 species
CCAUUCAAGUCCCACAGUUGCUCUGCGAAACCUCUGUAUAUGAAAAGUUGGCCCUCCAUGUACAUGGGUUUCCCAUCCUGUCAUAGAAUUUUCCACACUCCUUGACGGAGGUUCUUAACCCUUAUCCAUCAGCAUUCUCAGACAGCACCUCCGGUUAGGGACAGUAUCUGACCGUCCGACAUCCCUGCAGCCCCCAUGCUGUCACACAGACUCAGCCUCAGGUAGAUGGUUUCCGUAGAUGGUGGCUUUCUUUGGACCCUUGAUAUCAACCAGUUACUAUUUGCUCCUGCAACCACCGCUCUACUUUCUGUCUCUAUGAACUUGACUACUCUAGACACCUCAUGGGACCAGAUGUGCAGAGGUAAUGAAUACCAGGGAAUCAGGAAACCACUGGAUCAGUUCUUUGAGCCAUAGAACAACACUCAUCCCAGCAGCUGGGAAGCUAUCUGCAAAAGUCCAUCUGCAGAAAGGGCUUCCUGGUCUUGCGUGUGGCUGGGCCAUUUCUCUGGAUGCAGGUUUUUCAUUAUACAGUCUUCUCAAAGGACCACCUGCUCUCAACACC